GCAAACUUGGUCAUUUAGAGGAAGUAAAAGUCGUAACAAGGUUUCCGUAGGUGAACCUGCGGAAGGAUCAUUGCAGUGGGUGAUGGCUGGGUGGGGGUUGGCUGAUGGUUGGGUGGGGGAGGCUGGCUGGCUGGCAUGGCUAGCCUGGCCUGGCCUGGCCCGACUGUUGGCGACCACCGGCCACAUUUGCACAGGCGGCGUGGGAGCGGGGCGUGGGUGCUGAUCGGGCGGCGAUCUGGGUGGGCUGGUGCGUGGCGCUGAUGCGCCGAUGCGCUGGUCUGGUCGGAUGGGAUGCUCGGGGGUGCUCACGGCCACGCGGCCAGCCGUCUGAUGUUUGCGCUUGGGUGUUUGACAGAGUGAGGAUGAUGGUAUCCACUGUGAUGGCGACAACUUUUAACAAUGGAUCUCUUGGCUCUUGCAUCGAUGAAGAACGCAGC
rnacentral:misc_RNA from 1 species